UUCCCUGGCGGUCCAGUGGUUAGGACUCAGUGCUUUCACUGUUGUGGCCUGGGUUCAAUCCCCAGUGGGGAAC
rfam:Ovis aries breed Texel chromosome 15, whole genome shotgun sequence.